rnacentral:rRNA from 1 species
UACGGAGGGUGCAAGCGUUAUCCGGAUUCACUGGGUUUAAAGGGUGCGUAGGCGGGUAAGUAAGUCCGUGGUGAAAUCUCUGAGCUUAACUCAGAAACUGCCGUGGAUACUAUUUGCCUUGAAUAUUGUGGAGGUGAGCGGAAUAUGUCAUGUAGCGGUGAAAAUGCUUAGAUAUGACAUAGAACACCAAUUGCGAAGGCAGCUCACUACACAAUCAUUGACGCUGAGGCACGAAAAGCGUGGGGGAUCAAAACAGG